ACUCAAAUGAAUUGACGGGGGCCCGCACAAGCGGUGGAGUAUGUGGUUUAAUUCGAAGCAACGCGCAGAACCUUACCAGCUUUUGACAUGGGAAGUAUAGGAGAUAGAGAUAUCUUCUUUCAGUUCGGCUGGCUUCCACACAGGUGCUGCAUGGCUGUCGUCAGCUCGUGUCGUGAGAUGUUGGGUUAAGUCCCGCAACGAGCGCAACCCUCACUACUAAUUGCCAUCAGGUUUGGCUGGGCACUUUAGUGGAACUGCCGGUGAUAAGCCGGAGGAAGGUGGGGAUGACGUCAAGUCCUCAUGGCCCUUAUGGGCUGGGCUACACACGUACUACAAUGGUGGUGACAGAGGGCAGCGAAGGAGUUAAUCCGGAGCGAAUCCCUAAAAGCCAUCUCAGUUCGGAUUGUCCUCUGCAACUCGAGGACAUGAAGUCGGAAUCGCUAGUAAUCGCGGAUCAGCAUGCCGCGGUGAAUACGUUCACGGGCCUUGUACACACCGCCCGU
rnacentral:rRNA from 1 species